rnacentral:sRNA from 1 species
GUCGCGCAAGCGCCGUAGGCAGGAGCGGGGGACCCAAGGUAGGUGCCGGACCGGUCGGUUGACCGGAACGGCUUGGGGUGAAGCCGCACGUCCCAGGGAGCAGUGCUCCCGAGGACGAGCGGCCGGGCAACUCACACGGCCCGAACCCGACAGCUCACCUCGCAGGCGUCGGUGAGGGGAUCC